rnacentral:misc_RNA from 1 species
AAGUCGUAACAAGGUUUCCGUAGGUGAACCUGCGGAAGGAUCAUUACCAAAUCCAAAUCCUUCAACCCCUUGUGAACUAUGAUUUUAUUUAUUGUUUGUCUUUGGGGAGAGUGUUAAAAUCUUGCUUCGAAAAUCCUUUCUUCGAAAGAUUUCAGAUUUAAGUUUUUAUGCUCCCCAAAAGAGUUUCCCCUCUUCUUGAGGUUGAACUCAAAUAUUUAAACUACUUAUCAUAAACUUUUUUUGGAAUGCUUUUAUUUUUACUAAUAAAAGACAACUUUUAACGGUGGAUCUCUUGGCUCGU